rnacentral:rRNA from 1 species
GACGGAGGAGGCAAGCGUUAUCCGGAAUUAUUGGGCGUAAAGCGUCCGUAGGUGGUUAUUCAAGUCUUUUGUUAAAUAGUGGAGCUCAACUCCAUAGAGGCGGAAGAAACUGAGUAGCUUGAGUGCGGUAGGGGUAGAGGGAAUUCCAGGUGUAGCGGUGAAAUGCGUAGAUAUCUGGAAGAACACCAGUGGCGAAGGCGCUCUACUGGGCCGUAACUGACACUGAGGGACGAAAGCUAGGGGAGCGAAAGGG